UGGGGAAUAUUGCACAAUGGGCGCAAGCCUGAUGCAGCCAUGCCGCGUGUAUGAAGAAGGCCUUCGGGUUGUAAAGUACUUUCAGCGGGGAGGAAGGGAGUAAAGUUAAUACCUUUGCUCAUUGACGUUACCCGCAGAAGAAGCACCGGCUAACUCCGUGCCAGCAGCCGCGGUAAUACGGAGGGUGCAAGCGUUAAUCGGAAUUACUGGGCGUAAAGCGCACGCAGGCGGUUUGUUAAGUCAGAUGUGAAAUCCCCGGGCUCAACCUGGGAAAUGCAUCUGAUACUGGAAGGCUUGAGUCUCGUAGAGGGGGGUAGAAUUCCAGGUGUAGCGGUGAAAUGCGUAGAGAUCUGGAGGAAUACCGGUGGCGAAGGCGGCCCCCUGGACGAAGACUGACGCUCAGGUGCGAAAGCGUGGGGAGCAAACAGG
rnacentral:rRNA from 1 species